GACAGAGGGUGCAAACGUUGUUCGGAAUUACUGGGCGUAAAGCGCGUGUAGGCGGCUAUGCAAGUCGGAUGUGAAAGCCCUCGGCUCAACCGGGGAAGUGCACCCGAAACUGCAAAGCUAGAGUCUCGGAGAGGACCGUGGAAUUCUCGGUGUAGAGGUGAAAUUCGUAGAUAUCGAGAGGAACACCGGUGGCGAAGGCGGCAUUCUGGACCGACAUUGACGCUGAGGCACGAAAGCGUGGGGAGCAAACAGG
rnacentral:rRNA from 1 species